AACGGGAGUAGACCAACAGGGAUUGCCUCAGUAACGGCGAGUGAAGCGGCAACAGCUCAAAUUUGAAAUCUGGUCCCCCCGGGGCCCGAGUUGUAAUUUGCAGAGGAUGUUUCGGGCGCGGCGCCGGUGUAAGUUCCUUGGAACAGGACGUCGUAGAGGGUGAGAAUCCCGUAUGCGACCGGCGACCAACCCCAUGUGAAACCCCUUCGACGAGUCGAGUUGUUUGGGAAUGCAGCUCAAAAUGGGUGGUAAAUUUCAUCUAAAGCUAAAUACCGGCCAGAGACCGAUAGCGCACAAGUAGAGUGAUCGAAAGAUGAAAAGCACUUUGGAAAGAGAGUCAAACAGUACGUGAAAUUGUUGAAAGGGAAGCGCUUGCAACCAGACCUGCCCGCGGGUGAUCAGCCGUCCUUCUGGGCGGUGCACUCGCCCGCGAUCAGGCCAGCAUCGGUUCGGGCGGCCGGACAAAGGCCCCGGGAAUGUAGCUCCUUUCGGGGAGUCUUAUAGCCCGGGGCGCAAUGCGGCCAGCCCGGACCGAGGACCGCGCUUCGGCUAGGAUGCUGGCGUAAUGGUUGUAAGCGACCCGUCUUGAAACACGGACCAAGGAGUCUAACAUCUAUGCGAGUGUUUGGGUGUCAAACCCACGCGCGGAAUGAAAGUGAACGGAGGUGGGAACCCGCGAGGGCGCACCAUCGACCGAUCCAGAUGUCUUCGGAUGGAUUUGAGUAGGAGCAUAGCUGUUGGGACCCGAAAGAUGGUGAACUAUGCCUGAAUAGGGUGAAGCCAGAGGAAACUCUGGUGGAGGCUCGCAGCGGUUCUGACGUGCAAAUCGAUCGUCAAAUUUGGGUAUAGGGGCGAAAGACUAAUCGAACCAUCUAGUAGCUGGGUUCCUGCCGAAGUUUCCCUCAGGAUAGCAGUAACGUUUUCAGUUUUAUGAGGUAAAGCGAAUGAUUAGAGGCCUUGGGGUUGAAACAACCUUAACCUAUUCUCAAACUUUAAAUAUGUAAGAAGUCCUUGUUGCUUCGUUGAACGUGGACAUUUGAAUGCACCGUUACUAGUGGGCCAUUUUUGGUAAGCAGAACUGGCGAUGCGGGAUGAACCGAACGCGAGGUUAAGGUGCCGGAAUGCACGCUCAUCAGACACCACAAAAAGUGUUAAUUCAUCCAGACAGCCGGACGGUGGCCAUGGAAGUCGGAAACCGCUAAGGAGUGUGUAACAACUCACCGGCCGAAUGAAUUAGCCUUGAAAAUGGAUGGCGCUCAAGCGUGCUACCCAUACCUCGCCGCCAGGGUAGAAACGAUGCCCUGGCGAGUAGGCAGGCGUGGGGGUCCGUGACGAAGCCUGGGAGGUCCCGUCAACCCCCCC
rnacentral:rRNA from 1 species